rnacentral:rRNA from 1 species
GAUGAACGCUGGCGGCGUGCCUAACACAUGCAAGUCGAGCGGCAGCGCGUCCGACCACCCUCGGGUGGUCGGAUGGCGGCGAGCGGCGGACGGGUGAGGAAUGCAUCGGAAUCUGCCUCGUUGUGGGGGAUAACGUAGGGAAACUUACGCUAAUACCGCAUACGACCUACGGGUGAAAGUGGGGGACCUUCGGGCCUCACGCGAUGAGAUGAGCCGAUGCCGGAUUAGCUAGUUGGCGGGGUAAAGGCCCACCAAGGCGACGAUCCGUAGCUGGUCUGAGAGGAUGAUCAGCCACACUGGAACUGAGACACGGUCCAGACUCCUACGGGAGGCAGCAGUGGGGAAUAUUGGACAAUGGGGGCAACCCUGAUCCAGCCAUGCCGCGUGUGUGAAGAAGGCCUCGGUU